GAGCGCGUAGCUCAGCGGGAGAGCGCCACCUUGACACGGUGGAGGUCGCUGGUUCAAUCCCAGUCGUGCUCA
rnacentral:tRNA from 1 species